GGGAUGCCCUGACCGAGGGCA
rnacentral:misc_RNA from 1 species